UACGUAGGGUGCAAGCGUUAUCCGGAAUUAUUGGGCGUAAAGAGCUCGUAGGCGGUUUGUCGCGUCUGCUGUGAAAACUGGAGGCUCAACCUCCAGCCUGCAGUGGGUACGGGCAGACUAGAGUGCGGUAGGGGAGAAUGGAACUCCUGGUGUAGCGGUGGAAUGCGCAGAUAUCAGGAAGAACACCCGAUGGCGAAGGCAGUUCUCUGGGCCGUAACUGACGCUGAGGAGCGAAAGACGUGGGGGAGCGAACAGGAUUAGACUACCGAG
rnacentral:rRNA from 1 species